rnacentral:tRNA from 1 species
GUUAGCUCAAUUGGUAGAGCGCUCCACCAGUAAUGGAGAGGUCCCGGGUUCGAUACCCGGACCAGGCG